rnacentral:lncRNA from 1 species
AACCUAAAAGUCAAAAUUAUACUGUUAAAAUCAAUGAUGGAAUUUAUCUGCUUCUUCUUAUGUGGACCUUUUAUAUCAUUAAAAAAGCAAAACUUGAAAUGUAAUCCAAGCUAAAUCCAAUGAAAAUUUAGCGUCGGUUUCACACGAACCACAAGCUUUUGACUUCACCAACAUACAUAACCCCACGCAUUAUCACCAUUAAUUCUUCUUUAUUCUCGGUAUGGUUUAGGCGUAAGAGAAUGGUCACUGUAGAGCUACCAUAUGCAUAAGAAAAAAAAAUUAGUAUAAUGUCUCCGCUAAUCUAUAUAUCUUUGAAAAAAAAAAAAAAAUCUAUAUAUCUUUGUUACGAUGACCAUAAAUAUUGAAAUUGAUUUUGAUAAUACAACUCGUAAGACAACCCAUUGAACUCUUACCUCCGACUC